AAUUUAAGUAUUAAUAUUAUUUUAUAUUUUAUAUUUAAAUUAAUAUUAUUUUUAAUAAAAUAUAUUUUUUUAAUCAAUUAUAUUAAAUUAAUAAUUAGAUUUUUUCUGGACGAAAACAAAGCAAUCCGGCUUGGAAAUCAAGGCGGUGUGUAACGCACGUUGCUUGCACAACGCCAUCCAUCUUAACUUGUACUAGCUUCAUCCAGAACGUUCGAUGGGUAAGUGCAAUUUUCAUUGCCCUGUAUAAGUUCGGGUCCGUGAUUUCUGUCUUGAACAGCCCUCCCCGCCUCCCCCCUCUCUCGAUCUCUCUCAAUUCUCCGUGGCUUCGCUCUUCGAUCAUGUUUCGCCGUCUUAGAUCUCUAUCUAGAGAGAUCCACGAUUUAUAGCUGUGGGAUCCGUACUUUUCUCGAUCUGGAGUCUCGUUACUUCUCUGUCCUAUGGAGUCUCAGUGCAUCCGCCCGAGAUUUGUGUUCUCUGCCAAGGACCGAGGCUAAUGAUUAUAAUUUAUAACAGAUCUGGAGUCUGUGCUUCUCUGUCCUUAUAUGGAGUCUUACUGCAUCCAGCCGAGAUAGGUGUUCUCUACGAAGGAUUGAGGCUUAUAAUAUUCAUUGUAGUGAUCUGAACUCUGUAUUCGAUUAGUGAACGAGCACUUUGUGUUGUAAUCGCCAUAAAUCACGCGGAAGUUGUUAGAAGAUCUGUGUAAGUAAUCAGGAAAGGCCUAAUUUCAGGGGGUCGGAGUCCGUGAUUGAUUUUAUUGUUCGACCUUUGCCAUGACGGGUGCGCUUGCAUGGCAGGUCUAACAAAUCUAUUAAUAAAAUAUUUGUUAUUUUGCUUAGAGGAGAGACCGCAUGGGCCAUUUUUUUUCUUUGUGCCCGGGGUCUCUCCAAUGGUGUUCUGUGUUUUGCUGCUUUCCUUUGACUUCUUGCCGUCUUUCUAUCUAUCUUGAUCUUGCGCCCCUGCAUCUGAUACAGCGAAAAUUCAAGCCGAUAGAUCUACGCUGGGCAUGUUUAACAUCUGAGGAUUGAAGGUACACAACUUUUCGUUUUUCUAUUAAUCUCUAUCUUGCGCCCAUGCAUCUGAUACAGCGACAGUUCGAGCCGGUAGAGAUUUGCGUUGGGCUUGUUUAACUUCUGAGGAUUGAAGGUACACACAAAUCAUCACCUCCACUUGAAUUGGAUUUCAUUAGUUUUUUAACUAAUUUUGUGGAACAAAUACUGCAAGUUUGCAUACGAUCAUAAACAAAUUCGAGGAAAUUGAUCGGUUCAAUCUAGCGUUGAGCUCGAGCUGCCUCCAUUAAUUUAUAACAAUCACGUCUAAAGUCUGCACAUACAUACACAUUGGAUUAUGCAUGUUGCACGAUUAAGACUAUACCUUUUUUUUUUUUUCAAAAUACUUCUUAUUCUCAAAGCUUGAUACGAGAGGGGCAUUGUAAUACGUCCAUGGUGUUGGUGAAAAGCUUGAAGCCUAGUUUUGUUUUUGGUUGAUCCUUAGACUUUGCCAUGCUCUAACUGAAGGAGGGCUGGUUUUGAAGUCGAUGGUCUACAUGUUGCAAUUGAAAUGUUGCGUUCUAUGUUCUACAUGUUGCAGGCAAUGCUUCCUUCCAAAUUUAUUUGUAUGUAGUGGUUAAUUUAAAAAAUGCUUCAAUAUGCGUAUUGGAUUUGCCUAAAAGAAUUCAUUGUUAUGAAGGUUAUUCGUAACCCAUUUUCUUUGCCUCUUUGGUUGAUCCUGCAAAAACGUAUCAGUAUCUUUUUUGUGCAAGUUUCAUGGCGUUUGGUUUCUUGUAAGGAUUGUGACUUUUUGUUUAACCUGUGCUGGUUUUGGUGAGGUGUUUUGGUGGUGUAAGUUGUGUGGCACUAGGAAGAGAUUUUGUUUUCUCUAUACUUGAAGUCGUGGCUUUCAUAAUCGAGCAAAUGAUGCAACGUGGGAUAAAAUUGCGAUUCUCGUGGCUGAUCAAGGAAUUGGCAGCUCAACCCGACCAAUGAUUCAUGUAAAAGACAUUUGUGACUACUAGUUAUAUUUUGAGGUACAAUGUUCCGUCUCUUGGGCCAGCCGAUCUGCCCUAGCCUUUUGUUUUCAAUUUCAAUUCACGACUUAUAAUCAGGCUAAUCAAGGAAUGUGGGUCAAAAUUAUUAUUCUUCUUUGAUCAAGAGCUUAACAGCCUUCUCAUCACAAUGGUUUGUGGAGAAGACAUUUGUGGUUACAAGCUGUUUUUCGGAGUAAGAUUUCGUAUCAGGUGGCAGGUCCACUUGCGGCUGUUCCUUUCAGGUGAAAAGUAUUAUAAAUUAUUGUUUUGUUUUAAAUGAUCGGGACGAGUAUCCAUUAAUUUAGUACAGUGACUUCUAGCUUGGUUUUGGUAUGUUUGACAUUUCGAUAUCUUUUAUGCCAUUACCCUGGCUCUCUAUUUUUCUGUUUUGGGUAUUCUUGGUUUUGUGUUUUAGAGGUGUCAUUUUUAUGCCGUGCUUUUUUCCCACAUUGUUGAUUUGCUUACCAAACUCGUUAUGGUUAACCUUGUUAAUUGUUAUUCAA